UACGUAGGGGGCAAGCGUUGUCCGGAAUCAUUGGGCGUAAAGAGCGCGUAGGCGGUCCGGUAAGUCCGCUCUGAAAGUCCGGGGCUCAACCCCGGGAGGCGGGCGGAUACUGCCGGGCUAGAGUCCGGAAGAGGCGAGUGGAAUUCCUGGUGUAGCGGUGAAAUGCGCAGAUAUCGGGAGGAACACCUAUGGCGAAGGCAGCUCGCUGGGACGUUACUGACGCUGAGACGCGAAAGCGUGGGGAGCAAACAGG
rnacentral:rRNA from 1 species